rnacentral:SRP_RNA from 1 species
GCCGGGCAUGGUGGAGCAUGCCUGUAAUCCCAGCUAUUCAGGAGGCCGAGGCAGGAGAAUCACUUGAACCCAGGAGGCAGAUGUUGCAGUGAGCCAAGAUUGUGCCACUGCACUCCAGCCUGGGCAACAGAGUGAGACUCUGUCUCAA